GGCAGGGCUGGCCAGGCUGCUGCUGUGGCAGCAUGGCAGAAAUGCAACCAGCCACCCAUCGUCCUCCCUAUCCUUUGCCCUGUUCCUCCCUGCCCUCACCAACAGCCACUGCUGAUCUGCAUCAAUUCAUCUGCUGUUUUGGUGAGUGCCUACUGUGCACUCCAAUUAAUAGAAUUCCUUUAUUUUGCUGGAGAGAGUGCUGGAGCCCAUGCCACAAACAGCUUUGAAUACUCUGCAUCUCGCCUGCCUGUUUUCAAAAAGGUGACUGCUGAUGACAGCUAAGAUAACAAGAGAGUGGGUUUUGGGGUUUUUUUUUGCCUUCAUGAGAACACCUCCAGUUCUAUUAAUAAAAUCCUGAAUCUGA